rnacentral:rRNA from 1 species
GACGAACGCUGGCGGCGUGCCUAAUACAUGCAAGUAGAACGCUGAAGCGAGGAGCUUACUCUUCUUGGAUGAGUUGCGAACGGGUGAGUAACGCGUAGGUAACCUGCCUUGUAGCGGGGGAUAACUAUUGGAAACGAUAGCUAAUACCGCAUAACAAUGGAUGACACAUGUCCUUUAUUUGAAAGGGGCAAUUGCUCCACUACAAGAUGGGCCUGCGUUGUAUUAGCUAGUAGGUGAGGUAAUGGCUCACCUAGGCGACGAUACAUAGCCGACCUGAGAGGGGGAUCGGCCACACUGGGACUGAGACACGGCCCAGACUCCUACGGGAGGCAGCAGUAGGGAAUCUUCGGCAAUGGGGGCAACCCUGACCGAGCAACGCCGCGGGAGGGAAGAAGGUUUUCGGAUCGUAAAGCUCUGUUGUAAGUCAAGAACGGGUGUGAGAGUGGAAAGUUCACACUGUGACGGCAGCUUACCAGAAAGGGACGGCUAACUACGUG